rnacentral:lncRNA from 1 species
AUGAAACUGGCCUUUGGAGAUGGUGUGGAGGCCAUGACUCAUGCAAAGCUAGAGGUCACAUAUUUUGACGAUUCUCUUAUGGGGGCAACAUACAUUUUAUUUCUUCAUGUACACCAAAGAGAAGGGAAUAAACACACACUAAUACACACAUUAUAUACACACACACACACUAAGGAUUGAGGAGUGGUAGAGAUUAUCAAAUAAUGGUGAUGGAUUUGAAAGAGCAUAGAUGGAUGAGGAUUAAUGAUGAUGAUUAUUAUGAUGGUUAUUACUACAGAAGAAUUGUUUGGUUUGUUUUGGUGUCGAUUUGUAUGAUGUCGGUCAUAAUAUGGAAAUGCGCAGACGGUGCUUCUCGCAAACAAGCCGCUUCCUCCGACUCUAGUGAUCAAUAUUACGGGGCCAAUUGUGCUGCCGGCUGUGGUGCUGCUUGCGGUGCUUAAACUUUAUUCUUUCGCCACAGGGUGGGGGAGUUAUUUCUAGUUUAAUUAAUGUGUAUUAUUAUUGUAAUAUAUUUUUUUAAAGUUUAUUUGAACUCGAUUUGUUAUACUGAUUUAGGCAUUGUUGCAGUCUCGUAGUUUAUCAUAAACUUGUAGCCAAACUUCGUGUUUGGUCCGAUAACGGGUGUCUCGACUCUUUUGGUAGGUUCUCUCGAAUGUAAUUUUAUCAAUAAGGGAAAUAGAUAUUUUUAUUUCAAUAAAAGUAUUUUCCCGCGGCGUGCUCAUUCGUUUCACAAAAAUACCCCAUAUUUUUAUUAGUUAAAAAUUGUCAGGAACUCGGAAGAUUACUGCCAAUUUCAUAUUUUUUGUUGAAAAUCAAUACUUUUUAUUGGGCAUACUAUGCCAAAAUUACGGGAAGAGAUUC